UGGGGAAUAUUGCACAAUGGGCGCAAGCCUGAUGCAGCCAUGCCGCGUGUGUGAAGAAGGCCUUCGGGUUGUAAAGUACUUUCAGCGGGGAGGAAGGGAGUAAAGUUAAUACCUUUACUCAUUGACGUUACCCGCAGAAGAAGCACCGGCUAACUCCGUGCCAGCAGCCGCGGUAAUACGGAGGGUGCAAGCGUUAAUCGGAAUUACUGGGCGUAAAGCGCACGCAGGCGGUCUGUCAAGUCGGAUGUGAAAUCCCCGGGCUCAACCUGGGAACUGCAUUCGAAACUGGCAGGCUAGAGUCUUGUAGAGGGGGGUAGAAUUCCAGGUGUAGCGGUGAAAUGCGUAGAGAUCUGGAGGAAUACCGGUGGCGAAGGCGGCCCCCUGGACAAAGACUGACGCUCAGGUGCGAAAGCGUGGGGAGCAAACAGG
rnacentral:rRNA from 1 species